rnacentral:rRNA from 1 species
GACAGAGGGUGCAAACGUUGUUCGGAAUUACUGGGCGUAAAGCGCGUGUAGGCGGCUCUGCAAGUCGGGUGUGAAAUCCCAUGGCUCAACCAUGGAAGUGCACUCGAAACUGCAGGGCUAGAGUCCUGGAGAGGAAGGUGGAAUGCUUGGUGUAGAGGUGAAAUUCGUAGAUAUCAAGCGGAACACCGGUGGCGAAGGCGGCCUUCUGGACAGUGACUGACGCUGAGGCGCGAAAGCCAGGGGAGCAAACGGG